rnacentral:rRNA from 1 species
GAUUGAACGCUGGCGGCAGGCCUAACACAUGCAAGUCGAGCGGUAGCACAGAGAGCUUGCUCUCGGGUGACGAGCGGCGGACGGGUGAGUAAUGUCUGGGAAACUGCCUGAUGGAGGGGGAUAACUACUGGAAACGGUAGCUAAUACCGCAUAACGUCGCAAGACCAAAGUGGGGGACCUUCGGGCCUCAUGCCAUCAGAUGUGCCCAGAUGGGAUUAGCUAGUAGGUGGGGUAACGGCUCACCUAGGCGACGAUCCCUAGCUGGUCUGAGAGGAUGACCAGCCACACUGGAACUGAGACACGGUCCAGACUCCUACGGGAGGCAGCAGUGGGGAAUAUUGCACAAUGGGCGCAAGCCUGAUGCAGCCAUGCCGCGUGUGUGAAGAAGGCCUUCGGGUUGUAAAGCACUUUCAGCGGGGAGGAAGGCGUUAAGGUUAAUAACCUUGGCGAUUGACGUUACCCGCAGAAGAAGCACCGGCUAACUCCGUGCCAGCAGCCGCGGUAAUACGGAGGGUGCAAGCGUUAAUCGGAAUUACUGGGCGUAAAGCGCACGCAGGCGGUCUGUCAAGUCGGAUGUGAAAUCCCCGGGCUCAACCUGGGAACUGCAUUCGAAACUGGCAGGCUAGAGUCUUGUAGAGGGGGGUAGAAUUCCAGGUGUAGCGGUGAAAUGCGUAGAGAUCUGGAGGAAUACCGGUGGCGAAGGCGGCCCCCUGGACAAAGACUGACGCUCAGGUGCGAAAGCGUGGGGAGCAAACAGGAUUAGAUACCCUGGUAGUCCACGCCGUAAACGAUGUCGAUUUGGAGGUUGUGCCCUUGAGGCGUGGCUUCCGGAGCUAACGCGUUAAAUCGACCGCCUGGGGAGUACGGCCGCAAGGUUAAAACUCAAAUGAAUUGACGGGGGCCCGCACAAGCGGUGGAGCAUGUGGUUUAAUUCGAUGCAACGCGAAGAACCUUACCUGGUCUUGACAUCCACAGAACUUUCCAGAGAUGGAUUGGUGCCUUCGGGAACUGUGAGACAGGUGCUGCAUGGCUGUCGUCAGCUCGUGUUGUGAAAUGUUGGGUUAAGUCCCGCAACGAGCGCAACCCUUAUCCUUUGUUGCCAGCGGUUCGGCCGGGAACUCAAAGGAGACUGCCAGUGAUAAACUGGAGGAAGGUGGGGAUGACGUCAAGUCAUCAUGGCCCUUACGACCAGGGCUACACACGUGCUACAAUGGCAUAUACAAAGAGAAGCGACCUCGCGAGAGCAAGCGGACCUCAUAAAGUAUGUCGUAGUCCGGAUUGGAGUCUGCAACUCGACUCCAUGAAGUCGGAAUCGCUAGUAAUCGUAGAUCAGAAUGCUACGGUGAAUACGUUCCCGGGCCUUGUACACACCGCCCGUCACACCAUGGGAGUGGGUUGCAAAAGAAGNUAGGUAGCUUAACCUUCGGGAGGGCGCUUACCACUUUGUGAUUCAUGACUGGGGUGAAGUCGAACAAGGUAACC